CACGUAGGGCGCAAGCGUUGUCCGGAAUUAUUGGGCGUAAAGAGCUCGUAGGCGGUCUGUUGCGUCCGCUGUGAAAACCCGGGGCUUAACCCUGGGCUGGCAGUGGAUACGGACAGACUAGAGGUAGGUAGGGGAGAAUGGAAUUCCCGGUGUAGCGGUGAAAUGCGCAGAUAUCGGGAGGAACACCGGUGGCGAAGGCGGUUCUCUGGGCCUGACCUGACGCUGAGGAGCGAAAGCGUGGGGAGCGAACAGG
rnacentral:rRNA from 1 species